rnacentral:rRNA from 1 species
UGCAAGUCGAACGGCAGCACGACCUAGCUUGCUAGGUUGGUGGCGAGUGGCGCACGGGUGAGUAAUACGUAGGAAUAUACCUUAAAGAGUGGGACAACCUGGGGAAACACAGGCUAAUACCGCAUGAGCUCUAAGGAGGAAAGCUGGGGACCCGCAAGGGCCUGGCGCUUUAAGAAUAGCCUACGUCCGAUUAGCUAGUUGGUAGGGUAAAGGCCUACCAAGGCGACGAUCGGUAGCUGGUCUGAGAGGAUGAUCAGCCACACUGGGACUGAGACACGGCCCAGACUCCUACGGGAGGCAGCAGUGGGGAAUAUUGGACAAUGGGGGCAACCCUGAUCCAGCGAUGCCGCGUGUGUGAAGAAGGCCUGCGGGUUGUAAAGCACUUUCGGUGGGGAGGAGGAUUGA